AGGAUGGAUGCCCAGAAGCUACGAAUGGUACUAAAAGGAAAAUUGGACAGAAAGUGCUAAAGUGAUUUCUCAUCUCUGAAGCUGUUGAUGAGAAAAGAGAAAAUAUUAAAAAGGUGUGAAGAAACUCUCUGAACCCUGGAAACAAUAGACUCUCACUCCGGUACAGAAAUCCAGUUGGUGAUUGCCUCAGCCUUUUUUAUAUCCAUUACACUGAAUUGAAUUACUCCUCAUUUACACAGGCGAGACAAGAAUAAUGAUUAGCCAUAUUAGCUCUUUUUAAGUUUGUUUUGCUGGGAUUUUUGAUAAUGAAUCCAGAUUGGACUUAGAAAAGCCUCUUGAAGCUAGAAGAUCAAACCAAGGACUCGUCAUGAGCCUGUGUCUGCAACACCUAUCGAUUUGGGAAAUACCUGGAGGAGGAAGACAGCGAUGAUCUGAAGGGCCUGAAUUAGGGCUGCCAUGGAUGUGGAUGGAGGCCCACUGCUCCCAACAACUUAUGAGAGCAAGAUGCUGAUGUUAACCA
rnacentral:lncRNA from 1 species